UAGAAAGUGGUGUAAAGGAAGCACUUGGAGUUUUGAUCUCCACAGUAUGGGUUCGAAUCCCUUUUUUCUAA
rnacentral:tRNA from 1 species